rnacentral:rRNA from 1 species
AAGUCGAGCGGACCGACGGGAGCUUGCUCCCUUAGGUCAGCGGCGGACGGGUGAGUAACACGUGGGUAACCUGCCUGUAAGACUGGGAUAACUCCGGGAAACCGGGGCUAAUACCGGAUGCUUGAUUGAACCGCAUGGUUCAAUCAUAAAAGGUGGCUUUUAGCUACCACUUGCAGAUGGACCCGCGGCGCAUUAGCUAGUUGGUGAGGUAACGGCUCACCAAGGCGACGAUGCGUAGCCGACCUGAGAGGGUGAUCGGCCACACUGGGACUGAGACACGGCCCAGACUCCUACGGGAGGCAGCAGUAGGGAAUCUUCCGCAAUGGACGAAAGUCUGACGGAGCAACGCCGCGUGAGUGAUGAAGGUUUUCGGAUCGUAAAACUCUGUUGUUAGGGAAGAACAAGUACCGUUCGAAUAGGGCGGUACCUUGACGGUACCUAACCAGAAAGCCACGGCUAACUACGUGCCAGCAGCCGCGGUAAUACGUAGGUGGCAAGCGUUGUCCGGAAUUAUUGGGCGUAAAGCGCGCGCAGGCGGUUUCUUAAGUCUGAUGUGAAAGCCCCCGGCUCAACCGGGGAGGGUCAUUGGAAACUGGGGAACUUGAGUGCAGAAAAAGAAAGUGGAAUUCCACGUGUAGCGGUGAAAUGNGUAAAGAUGUGGAGGAACACCAG